GAUGAACGCUGGCGGCGUGCCUUAGGCAUGCAAGUCGAACGGUCCCGCAUUUUGCGGGAUAGUGGCAGACGGGUGAGUAACGCGUAGGAAUCUACCCUUUGGCGGGGAAUAGCUUGCUGAAAAGUAAGGUAAUACCGCAUAAUCCCUAUGGGGAAAAGGACAUAACUGUCCACCGAAGGAGGAGCCUGCGUCCUAUCAGCUUGUUGGUAAGGUAAUGGCUUACCAAGGCUUCAACGGGUAGCCGGUGUGAGAGCACGACCGGCCACAAUGUCACUGAAACACGGGGCAUACGUCUACGGACGGCAGCAACCGGGAAUAUUGCGCAAUGGGCGAAAGCCUGACGCAGCGACGCCGCGUGAAGGAUGACAGCCUUCGGGUUGUAAACUUCUUUUAUUCAGGAACAUAAUGAGGGUACUGGAUGAAUAAGCACCGGCAAACUACGUGCCAGCAGCAGCGGUAAAACGUAGGGUGCAAGCGUUAUCCGGAUUUACUGGGCGUAAAGAGUAUCGUAGGCGGUUGGAAAAGUCAUUCGUUAAAGCCCGAGGCUUAACUUCGGAAAGGCGGGUGAUACUUUCUGACUAGUGCACAGUCGGGGAUGUUGGAAUGUCUGGUGGAGGGGUGAAAUCCGUUGAGAUCAGAUAGAACACCGAGGGCGAAGGCAGAUAUCUAGGCUGUUGCAGACGCUGAUGAACGAAAGCUGGGGUAGCAAAAGGGAUUAGAGACCCCUGUAGUCCCAUGCCGUAAACGAUCUCUACUAGCUCUCCCGGAUUUAAUCUGGGGGGGCGUAAGCUAACGCGUUAAGUAGAGCGCCUGGGGAGUACGGCCGCAAGGCUAAAACUUAAAGGAAUUGACGGGAAGGCGCACAACCAGUGGAGCAUGUGGUUUAAUUCGAUACGAAGCGUAGGACCUUACCUGGGUUUGACAUCCCGCUGCAUCCCCGAUGAAAAUCGGGAGUUCUUUGAGAGUGCGGGACAGCUGCUGCAUGGUUGUCGUCAGCUCGUGUCGUGAGAUCUCUGCUUAAGUGCAGUAACGAGCGCAACCCUCAUCCUGAGUUAAAUGUUCUCAGGAGACUGCCUCAGUUAAACUGGGGAGGAAGGGGAGGAUGACGUCAAAUCAGCACGGCGCUUAUAUCCAGGGCGACACACAUCCUACAAUGGCUAGCACAAUGGGUUGCGAGGCGGUAACGCGGAGCUAAUCCCUUAAAACUAGCCUCAGUUCAGAUUGAGGGCUGCAACUCGCCCUCAUGAAGUUGGAAUUGGUAGUAAUCGCGGGUCAGCAGACCGCGGUGAAUACGUUCUCGCCUUUUGUACACACUGCCCGUCAAGCGAGGAGAGUUGGGGGUAUCCAAAGUUCCCGACGUUACGUCGGGGCCUAAGGUAAACUCAGCAAUCAGCACU
rnacentral:rRNA from 1 species